rnacentral:rRNA from 1 species
AUCUGGGCGGCGGAAUUCAGGAUAGCCGGGCGGGCCUCGCGCUCGUCCGGUUGUUUGAUAUUUCCGUCGCCGUGUCAGACGUCGCGACCUGUUCGUCGUCGGUCCUUGCUCGGAGGAAUCGCGUUCGAGUUCGUUGCGGGGCGCGUUUCGGCGUGCCUCGCGGCGAAGGCGCGUCUUUCUGGCUGACGACGGACAGUAGGCAACGGUGUCCGGCGUCGUGUCUCGCACUCGACGUCGGUACCGGUCAGCGACGAUUUCUUCGGGCCUCUUUCCGACCCGUCUUGAAACACGGACCAAGGAGUCUAACAUGCGCGCGAGUCGCGGGGUUUCGAGCGUGCCACGGUGCGCUCGUUACUUCCGAAACCCGUACGUUGAAGGCGUAAUGAAAGUGAACAGGGAAGAUGGCGUUCCGAGUCCACGUACCGUGAUCGAGUAUCGCGGCCGGACGCCCGCACUCCCGGGGCGUCUCAAUGGUUCGUCGCGGAUGCGGACGGUCGUCUUUCGGGGCGGCCGUCGGUCUGCGACGGUCCGA